rnacentral:rRNA from 1 species
CCUACGGGGGGCAGCAGUGAGGAAUAUUGGUCAAUGGCCGGGAGGCUGAACCAGCCAAGUCGCGUGAGGGAAGACGGCCCUACGGGUUGUAAACCUCUUUUGUCAGGGAGCAAGGUGCAGGUCGGGACCUGCUGUGAGAGUACCUGAAGAAAAAGCAUCGGCUAACUCCGUGCCAGCAGCCGCGGUAAUACGGAGGAUGCGAGCGUUAUCCGGAUUUAUUGGGUUUAAAGGGUGCGCAGGCGGCGCCACAAGUCAGCGGUAAAAUCGCGGGGCUCAACCCCGCUCCGCCGCGCAAACUGUGGCCCUUGAGUGCGCCAAGGGUAGGCGGAAUGCGUGGUGUAGCGGUGAAAUGCAUAGAUAUCACGCAGAACUCCGAUUGCGAAGGCAGCCUACCGGCGCGUAACUGACGCUGAGGCACGAAAGCGUGGGUAUCGAACAGGAUUAGAUACCCGUGUAGUC